ACCCAGGCAUGGGCAGCCCCUAAGGUCAGGACGGGGUUUUCCUAGGGAACUCCAUGGGGAUGGGCUGCCUUGCAUUUGAAUCACUUUCCUGUUCUUGAAGAACAAUGCUGGAGAAGCCUCAGCAGUGGCAGAGGGACCUAAAAUGCUAACACAUCACCUAUCUCUACAAAGGAGCAGCUAACGAGGCUUCUAUUGUCUGCAGGGAGUGAAGGGAAUGGCUGCCAUGUUUUUGCUCUUUUUCUGUUGCUGUUUGCCUGAGAGUUGACCUGUCAUGUGGAAGGGUGAAGGCCCUUAUCAGGGGAAAGACCUAGAGAGAAUUCCAAAGAAACAGCUGGAGAAAGGGAUUAUUCAAAUCCAUGUAGGAGCCAGUACAAGUCCCAGACUCAUGCUGAGAUGUGUGCACAGAACAAAACCAAAGCUGCAGAGCAGAGGCUUCAGGAAGUGAUGAUAAUGAAAAUCACCACUCAUUGGCAGAAGAACUGAUGGGUGGGAGAGCCCUGAGGAUCAUCUCGAAGCAAUGACUGACGGCAGGAUGCAGUGAGUAGUCUGACCCUGCUGUGUUGACUGCAUAGCAAGAUGAGAGAAAAAGGAAACUGAGUCCUCUCCUGAGCAUGAUAAUAGGAACCAGAGCCUCACAAAACAACCAGCAAACUUCCCAGGACACUACCCAUAAUUACACAACAAAACAUACCAAAAAUCAGGAAAUUCUCAAGGAAAGGGACAACAUCCAUCCCUGAAUAACCCACAUGAAGGAUCAUGCAAAGCAUCUAUUAUAACCAUUCUCAAACAAGAAAGGCAAAUAUUCUUGAAAUUAAUAGAAAGAAGUAAGUUCUCAUCAGAGAAAUAACAAGAGUCAGAGAAUUGUAGGUCAGUAAAUGAUAAUCAAAAGAACAAAGAAAAAGAAAAAAAGAACAAAAGUAAGAGUCUCAGAUAUGUAAAACAACAUCAGAAGUUUUAACUUCUGUACCAUUGGAAUGGGGAGGAGUAAAAGGAGGUGAGAAACAAAAUUUAUAAGGAAAAGCAUGGUAUAAAAAUGUCACAAAUUCAUGAAAAAUAGAUCUGGGAAGCUCAGAAAGUCUCACCUGACACAGGCUCAAUCCAAUAAGCAGCAAGCAUGAAGACAACUCUUGAAAACCUUAGAGACAAGGCUUCUGUAUUUUACGUCCGAUCUAAAUGAAGGGGAUCUAGAUGGUGACCAUAGCCCACUGUGAAAUGAUCAGGAGACCUAGUGUUAUUUCCAGAGCAACUCCAAAACAGUAGCAAACUUGUGCAAGAAAAAUGGGAUGACCUUGGUAUCCAGAAGCUGUGAAUGAAGCAGGUUUCUGUGAGAACACAGCCUUGAUUUUUCUUGGUGAAAUGCCUCAGCACAGGGCCAUGGGUAAUAGGGAAAGGGUGUCUCUCCCAGCCUGCCCAUGUCUGGCAGGGGGUGUAGUGGUUGUCAGGUAUUGGGAGGAACCUCUGGUGUUUUUACAAAGAUUAUUUGCAAUCAUAGUGUCGUCUCUCUGCUUUGUUUUUAAAUAACUUUGGUUGCAUAGAUAUGGACUCACGGAUCUUUGGUUUAUAAUUUGAGUUUUAAUAAACUUGUUUUAUUUUCAGA